CCUACGGGAGGCUGCAGUGGGGAAUAUUGGACAAUGGGGGGAACCCUGAUCCAGCCAUGCCGCGUGUGUGAAGAAGGCCCUCGGGUUGUAAAGCACUUUCAGUGAGGAAGAACGCCUGGUGGUUAAUACCCAUCAGGAAAGACAUCACUCACAGAAGAAGCACCGGCUAACUCCGUGCCAGCAGCCGCGGUAAUACGGAGGGUGCGAGCGUUAAUCGGAAUUACUGGGCGUAAAGCGCGCGUAGGUGGCUUGAUAAGCCGGUUGUGAAAGCCCCGGGCUCAACCUGGGAACGGCAGCCGGAACUGUCAAGCUAGAGUGCAGGAGAGGAAGGUAGAAUUCCCGGUGUAGCGGUGAAAUGUGUAGAGAUCGGGAGGAAUACCAGUGGCGAAGGCGGCCUUCUGGACUGACACUGACACUGAGGUGCGAAAGCGUGGGUAGCAAACAGGAUUAGAUACCCUGGUAGUC
rnacentral:rRNA from 1 species